rnacentral:rRNA from 1 species
GUAGGUGGCAAGCGUUGUCCGGAAUUAUUGGGCGUAAAGCGCGCGCAGGCGGUUCUUUAAGUCUGAUGUGAAAGCCCACGGCUCAACCGUGGAGGGUCAUUGGAAACUGGAGAACUUGAGUACAGAAGAGGAAAGCGGAAUUCCACGUGUAGCGGUGAAAUGCGUAGAGAUGUGGAGGAACACCAGUGGCGAAGGCGGCUUUCUGGUCUGUAACUGACGCUGAGGCGCGAAAGCGUGGGGAGCAAACAGGGAUAGAUACGCUGGUAGUCCACGCCGUAAAUGAUGAGUGCUAAGUGUUAGGGGGUUUCCGCCCCUUAGUGCUGCAGCUAACGCAUUAAGCACUCCGCCUGGGAGUACGGCCGCAAGGCUG